AUCUAGUAAUCGCCAUUUGAUUAAAGAAGUCAGGAAAGUUGGGUCAGAACUCGAGGUGAAAUUUCACGAAUUCUCAUAAUGAGAACAUUUAUUAAAAAACUGACUCAAAUCCGUUAAAAACAAAUCUCUUCGAAAACACAGAGCGUUCUCUGAUUCUACGAUUUUUCGAAAUUUGAGUCAAUCUAGUUCAUUGUAAAAUAGGCCACGGUACCAGGAAAAACUCUGAGGACGACAGCAAAACAAAAUGGUGGAUAAACAAUCAUGCCAAUGACAUUUCCAAAAACAUGAGUUUCCUUUCAGCAAACAUUGUAUUUGCUAAGAAAUAUAUGAGUACUACGGGCUAUUGUAACAAAUUAACGGUAUCAUUUAUCGAUAUGACUAUUUGAGUACUUCAUACAAUUCAGAGAUGGCAUUGCUAACAC
rnacentral:misc_RNA from 1 species